GCAAGUCGUACGAGAAAGCUUCUUCGGAAGUGAUUAGAGUUGCGCACGGGUGAGUAACCCGUAGGGAAUCUGCCUUUUGGUGGGGGAUAACUCGAAGAAAUUCGGGCUAAUACCGCAUACGUACUGCAAUUUUGAAAGUAGCAGUAGAAAGAGUGCCGCCCUUGGAAGCACUUUCCAUUAGAUGAGCCUGCGUAACAUUAGCUAGAUGGUGGGGUAAUGGCAUACCAUGGCUACGAUGUUUAACUGGUCUGAGAGGAUGAUC
rnacentral:rRNA from 1 species